rnacentral:tRNA from 1 species
GGUCUCAUAGUUCAACGGAUAGAACGGAAGUUUCCUAAACUUCAGAUCCAAGUUCGAUUCUUGGUGGGAUCA